rfam:Schistosoma haematobium scaffold247_44, whole genome shotgun sequence.
AGUCUUCUGUAUCCACGUUGAUAUUUCAUCACACACUAUGACACAAAGGCUGAUGAGACUCCCAAGAUAAAUGAAGCA